rnacentral:rRNA from 1 species
UACGGAGGGUGCAAGCGUUAUCCGGAUUCACUGGGUUUAAAGGGUGCGUAGGCGGGCAGGUAAGUCCGUGGUGAAAUCUCUGAGCUUAACUCAGAAACUGCCAUGGAUACUAUUUGUCUUGAAUAUUGUGGAGGUAAGCGGAAUAUGUCAUGUAGCGGUGAAAUGCUUAGAUAUGACAUAGAACACCAAUUGCGAAGGCAGCUUACUACACAGUUAUUGACGCUGAGGCACGAAAGCGUGGGGGUCAAACAGG